rnacentral:lncRNA from 1 species
AUGUUGUUCACAAGUGUUUAAGCACAACAACAUUAAGGCAGGAAAGGGAAACAAAGCUACAAUUACAGGAAAGUUUCACAUAUGAAGUCUUAAACACUUUGAGCAAAGUCUGCAGUCGAAUCGGCACCAGCAUUGCUUGCAUAAGGUUCUCUGUACCACUGAUUAGGUUCGCGAGUAAUAAAGCUGGCUUCUGCAUUUGCGAAGACAACGGAACAGGAGAAACAAUCAACAGCUAAACAAAAUUUGUAAAAGGUGGAGCAUUUUAAGAACAUCAAUAUCUAGAAUUUUCCAUUUUUGAUUCUUAAAUGCCUACCAAUUUCUCUUUUUUUUUUGAUUUAUUUGUUUUUAUUUUAUGGCUGCUAGAUUUAUUGUCUGAGGGUUUCUUUAUUGUAUAUGGCCAUAUGGGUUAUGCAACUAGCAAGAUCUUCUAUUUGCUAAACUUGAUGGCUAUUCUUUUUGUUUAUUCAAGAAAUUUUAAAGACUGCCUUUAAGAGACCUAUUGACCCUCUGUUGAGAGAUCUGAAUAUAGAGAUAUUUGCUCAAGGAACCUGGGUGUACACAUUUGAUGCUUGGCCAUUGUACAAAAUAUGUUUCACUGGCGCUGGUUGUCUAACUACUGAUAAAACUGAAGUCGAUCGGCCAGUUUCAAAGGAACUAUUAAUCAAUUGUAGAAUAGAAACAAGUAGCAUACCUGACAAGAAUACAUCCUGAUUCUUCAUCGUCAUCACCCCUUCAACGUCAAAACCCGGUGCAGCAAUCCCCAUACCAGGGGCUCACCCUGCUCACCUUGAAAGUCUUGAAAGCGAUUCAAAUAGAUAAAAAAGUGUUCUAAUGUAGUCUGAAAGCCAAGUUUGUUCAGCGCUAUUAACACAUCCGGUGUAGUCACAGUUAUGUGGAUAAACUUGAUCACACACUGUUGAAUUGAUAUCACGGCGUCAGCUCACCGUGAUUUGGGAUAUUCCUUCGCAUCAGGCCUAUCAUGUUUGGAGCUGGCACUAAAUCUUCUAUCACGGUGCAAUAGUUAUAUACAAUUAUAUAUGGUGAGAAAAUAAAAAGAUUAACAGAAUCGAUCUUACAUUAAAUAGUGAGACUUAUCAUAAGACAUCACUUGUUCACUAGAAUUUCCGUAGCACUCAAUUUUUUUUCUUUUUUCAUAAGUUCUCUUCAUCUUUUCGAGAUGAUUGUUUCUAUGAAUGUUUGAGACAAUGUAUCAGAAGAGAUAUAUGAAAGAAAAGAAAUGAGAGAAUGACACCAAACUAAAGAAAGCUAACAGCGAGACACUUGGCACAUAUUAUAUCAGUUCAGGAGUACGCGGUGUCCUGUGAUUUAAUUUUGAGAAAAGAUUAAUUUUACAUCUUAAGUUAACAGGUACAAAAAAAAUUCAUCCGUCAAACUUCUUAAUGCAUGCAUCAUUUUAAGUUAACAGGUACAAAAAUAUUUCAUAAGCAGAUAUCUCGUAACGUAUGCUAUUUUUUAAGAUUCAAGUCAUUUGGUACAAACAGAUAACUCCUUAAAUAGGCAUUUUUUAAAGUUUCAAACAUGCAAGUUCAAGUCAUUCGGUACAAACAGAUAACUCGUGACGCAGACAUUUUUUAAAACUCAAACAUGCUUGCGUUAACAUGUCCAAUUUAUUAAAGGCAUCAGGUACAAACCGAUCAACUCUUGAUAUAUACACGUUUUAAGUUAACAGGUAAAAGCAUCUUUAGAUAUAUUUACAUGGUGUAUUAACGGGUUAUUUUCUCUCCAACCACGGAUCCCAAUUCAAGUUAUUAGUUACAAACAUUGAUAUAUGUGAUAGAUAUAAACAUGUUUAAAUAUACAAGUCCAACUUACUCUUACUCGUAUGGUAAUAUGGUAAUACUGAUCACCCUCCUCACCUUUAAACUCUUGAAAGCGAUUCAAAUAGAUAAAAAGCGGUCCUAUGUACUAUGUAGUCCUGAAAGCCAAGUUUGUUCAGUGCUAUUAACACAUCCUGUGCAGUCAUAUUUGUGCGCACCUAGUCUUCGUUUCGGCUGUCACAUACCGGAUAAACUUUAUCACACACCGUCCAAUUGAUAUCACGGCAUCAGCUGAUAUCUCACAAAUAAAAAUAUAGAUGUUGGGUCUCAGCCCAUUAGACUAGAAGCCCAUUUACGGGCCCAAGGACAUGUAGUCCAAAUUACACACAAGUUCUAGACAAGUAGUAUAAAUAUUAAAAACAUGUAUCCUCAAGGGGUUGGAAAUUGAGGGAAAAGAGCCUCCAUUUUAAUGGCUCAACAAUGGAUAUAUCAACACUUAUACUGAUAUAUAAAAAUGGUCGAAAUAAAAAGAAUUACAAUGUUUUAGAAACGAUCAGAAUAUAUCUUAUGCAUAUCUUAUACAUAUAAAAUUAAAGAUAGUUCGACCAAGAGUACCUACAAAUAUAAAGAACUAAUUCCCAAAUAGUUUGAUAACAUAUUAACCUUGACAUGAUAGACAUGUUUUAUUUAACUUCUUCAUAAAUAUAAAAAGUAACUGGUGUGUGGCUUGAGCCUAUCUUCACUGGGCAAAUGGUGUAAACUAAGCAUCACCAGUUGAAUCUGCAGCACUGCCAGAAGGUGCAUCAUUCUGAUCAUCCCCCACGAAACCUCCCAUUGUCAUCACCCCUUCAACGUCAAAACCUGGUGCACCAAUCCCCAUACCUCGGGGCUGGAAUAGUGUCUCCUGAUUACCGGGGGAUCACCCUGCUCAGCUUGAAACUCUUGAAAACGAUUCAUAUAGAUAAAAAGUGGUCCAAUGUAGUGGUGAAAGCCAAGUUUGUUCAGUGCUAUUAACACAUCAUGUGCAGUCAUAGUUGUGCGCAUCCCCUCGCCACACCUAGCGUUGGCUUCGGCUGUCACAUAGCGGAUAAACUUGAUCACACACUGCUGAAUUGAUAUCACGGCAUCAGCUGAUAUCUCACCCUGAUUUAGGAUGAUCCUUCGCAUCAGGCCUGUCACGUUUGGAGCUGGCACCAAAUCUGCAGUAAUAACAAUAGAUGGUCAGAUAAUAAAAUGAUCAACUGAAUCAAUCUUACAUGAAAUAGUGAGACUUACCAUUAGAUAUGCGUUGUUCACUAGAAUUUUCGUGGCACUCAAAAUUUUCUCUUUCUUCAUGAGUUCUCUUCAUCUUUUUCACCUUAAUGUUUCUAUGAAUGUUUGAGAAUGUAUCAGAAGAGAUAUAUGAAAGAAAGAAAUGAGUGAGUGACACUAAACUAAUGAAAGCUGAGACAGUGACAACUGGCACAUAUUAUAUCAGUACGUGGUGUCUUCAUUUGACAAGAGAUCAAUUUUACGUUUUAAGUUAACAGGUCCAAAAGAAAAAUCGGCCAAACUUCUUGAUGCAUGCAUCUUUUUAAGUUAACAGGUACAAAAUAUUUUCAUCUCAAUCUUCUUGGUGCAUAUAUCGCUUUAAAUUACAUACAUGCCGGUGUUAACUUAUUUAAGUCAUUAGGUACAAACAGAUACCUCCUGACGUAUGUAUUUUUUUCACAAACAGAUAACUCUCCUGGCGUAUGCAUUUUUUUAAGUAAGUAGUUGGCAGGUACAGAUAACUGUCUGGCGUAUGCAUUUUGUUAAGUUUCAGACAUGCUUGUGUUAACACGUUCAACUUAUUUAAGGGUAUUACGUACAAACCAAUCAACUCCUGUGUAUGCACAUUUAAUCAACUUCUGUGUAUGCACAUUUAAUUAAGUUAACAGGUAGAAACAUUAUUCAUAUGUUUAUAUUACUAUUUAAGUUACCAGUUACAUAUGUUUAUAUUACUAUUAAUAUUUAUAUUUUUUAAAUUAAUAGAUAUAAACAUGUUUAUAUUAACAAGUCCAAUUUACUUAUUUGGUAAUAGCUAGAGAUCAUCUCUGCAUAAUUAUAUUUUUAAAAGAAUUUUAUUACGCGAAGACAUGUGUAUAACAUGAAAAAAUUCAUUAGUCCUAAAAAUUGUGCAUGGACUUUAAUUUAGUAAGAAUGAAUUUAUAAUCAAAGGGCCUUUUAAUUAUAUAUUUUGAAAAAAAUAUAUCAGAUAUAUAGACAAUAUUAAUAUAUAAUUAAAAAUUAUUAAUAACAUAAAAUGGGUUCUAUUCAUGUAAUUAAUAAAAUUAUAAAAGGAUAAAUAUUUAACAUAUACUAAUAAGAUAAUAUCAUUUAUAUUUAAUUGUACUUUUUAAUGAAUAAUAAUAUUUAUUAUUAAUUUAUAUAUCAGAAUAUUGUCAUUACCGCUAUUUUUAAUAAUUUACUUUUAUCAUUAAGAUAAAUUAUAUCCUAAAAUAAUUAAUUUUCCUCUACAAUUUUGUAUUAAUUGUUAAUAAUUUUAAUUCAACUAAAAAUUCAUAUGAGUUAUUGUCAAAACUAUAUAUAUAGAGAGAUUGUAAUAUGAUAUUAUAACACUUUAAAAUAUAGAAGAAUAGCAUGUUCAUGAACCGGCUCAAAUCAAUCUAAACCGAAAUAACAAGGUUUACCAAGUAUUUCAUACCAUACUUUAUUUCGGAAAUGACAUUUUUUUUUUCAUACCAUACUCCCUCAAGAAAUGACAAGAUCUAACCAAAUAUUUACUACCACACUUUAUUUCGGAAAUGACAUUUCUUCAUACCUUAUUUAAAUGACAUUUUUUUCACAUACUCCCUCAAGAACUCCCUCAAGAAAUGACAAGAUCUAAUUAAAUAUUUACUACCACACUUUAUUUCGGAAAUGACAUGUCUUCAUACCACACUCUCUCGAGAAAUAACAAGAUCGACCUCGAGAAGUAAGAAGAUCGGCCUGUAUUUCUUUCUACCACACUUUAUUCUCAUAAUAACAAUGUCAAUCGGAUGUUAUCUAAAAACUUGAAUUUAGCUCAUUUACCAUACGAUUUAAAAUCAAAUAUAAUUUAAAUUUAAUAAAUUUUAGACUCAAACGCGAAAAGACAAAGAAAAACUUGAACUUAAAUAACGAGACUCCACGAAAGUUUACCAUUUAGUGCAUCUUUUAUUGAAAACAAAGAGGUGUAAAAAGACACAGAAAUGUUAAAGUGUGUUUUGUGAUCAACUUUAAAACUAACAUCAAUGUGAUAAGAAUAAUAAUAGCAACUAAUGUUGUUCAUAAGUGUUUAAGCACAACAACAUUACGGCAGGAAAGGGAAACAGAGCUACAAUUACAGGAAAGUUUCACAUAUUUAGUCUUAAACACUUUGAGCAAAGUCUGCAGUCGAAUCGGCACCAGCACUGCUUGCAUAAGGUUCUCUGUACCACUGAUUAGGUUCGCGAGUAAUAAAGCUGGCUUCUGCAUUUGCGAAGACAACAGAACAGGAGAAACAAUCAACAGCUAAACAAAAUUUGUAAAAGGGGGAGCAUUUUAAGAACAUUAAUAUUUAGAAUUUUCCAUUUUUGAUUCUUAAAUGCCUACCAAUUACUCUUUUUUUAAUUUAUUUGUUUUUAUUUUAUGGCUACUGAAUUUAUUGUCUGAGGGUUUCUUUAUUGUAUAUGGCCAUAUGGAUUAUGGGUUAUGCAACUAGCAAGAUCUUCUAUUUGCUAAACUUGAUGGAUUUUCUUUUUG